rnacentral:misc_RNA from 1 species
CGAUCCAGCCAUCCCGCGUGUGCGAUGAAGCGGCCUUCGGGUUGUAAAGCACUUUUGGCAGGAAAGAAACGGCACGGGAUAAUACCCCGAAGAAUUGACGGUACCUGCAGAAUAAGCACCGGCUAACUACGUGCCAGCAGCCGCGGUAAUACGUAGGGUGCAAGCGUUAAUCGGAAUUACUGGGCGUAAAGCGUGCGUACAGGCGGUUCGGAAAGAAAGAUGUGAAAUCCCAGAGCUUAACUUUGGAACUGCAUUUUUUUAACUACCGAGCUAGAGUGUGUCAGAGGGAGGUGGAAUUCCGCGUGGGAGAAUAUGGAACGAUAUAUAGAUGAAUGAUGCAGCAGCCUUCGGGAUAACACUGACGCUCAUGCAUUGAGUGCUGGGUGAAAAACGACAUGGGAUUAGAUACCCUGGUAGUCCACGCCCUAAACGAUGUCAACUAGUUGCCACCGGGCCUUGUAGGCGUGGCGCUAACGCGUGAAGUUGACCGCCUGGGGAGUACGGUCGCAAGAUUAAAACUCAAAGGAAUUGACGGGGACCCGCACAAGCGGUGGAUGAUGUGGAUUAAUUCGAUGCAACGCGAAAACCUUACCUACCCUUGACAUGUCUGGUCCCGAAGAGAUUUGGGAGUGCUCGCAAGAGAACCGGAACACAGGUGCUGCAUGGCUGUCGUCAGCUCGUGUCGAGAUGUUGGGUUAAGUCCCGCAACGAGCGCAACCCUUGUCAUUAGUUGCUACGAAAGGGCACUCUAAUGAGACUGCCGGUGACAAACCGGAGGAAGGUGAUGACGUCAAGUCCUCAUGGCCCCUAUGGGCAGGGCUUCACACGUCAUACAAUGGUCGGGACAGAGGGUCGCCAACCCGCGAGGGGGGAGCCAAUCCCAGAAACCCGAUCGUAGUCCGAUCGCAGUCUGCAACUCGACUGCGUGAAGUCGGAAUCGCUAGUAAUCACGGACCAUCGUGAAUACGUUCCCGGCCCGCACAACGCCCGUCACACCAUGGGAGUGGGUUUUACCAGAAGUAGUUAGCCUAACCGUAAGGAGGCGAUUACCACGGGUGAGAUUCAUGAUCAAACAAGUCGUAACAAGGU